AAACAAAUUCAUCAAUAAAGAUAUGAGUCAGCAAUAAAAUCUGCGUCUUCUGAUGUCUAUACCUAAAUUUAUUAGGUUUGGGAAACAAGCCAGGUAAAGCAGAGAUUGAGAUCCUGACAUGGAAGUCAAUUUCAUCCAGCAGAUAUUGAUGUAACAUGGUGGGAUGGGACUUGAGUGGAAUAUGGCCCUGAAAAAGUAUGCUUUCUUCAUGGGAAAUAAGAUGGGUGAAAGAAUGUGGGAGCAGAGUAGGAAAUACAGUGUACAGUUUCCUCAAGUGAGCUAAUGGAGAACCAGAGGGGAUACCAGAUGAAGGGCAUUUGGGUGAGGAAUACCAGAGAUAGAGAGAGAAGAAAGAAAGUCAUUUGUUAACAACUGCAGACAGCCUGGACAGAAAGAAGAACCAGAUGAGUUCAGAAAACAGACCCUGAGCCUGGAGGACCACAAAGGUGAGAUACUGUUGGAUGAGAGACCUUUAACUAUCUGCCUCUCAGUCUGAUGACCCUUUCUGUCCAAAUCAGUGACUCCACCACCUAUGAUCCAAAUUCUGGUUGUUGUUUAUUUUAUUCCAUCUAAUCAGUUACCAAGUCUUAUCUUGUUCAGUCAUUUUAGCCCUGUCCAACUUUUUGUAACCCCAUUUGGGGUUUUCUUGGCAGAGAUACUGGAAUGGCUGGCCAUUUCCUUCUCCAGCUCAUUUUACAGAUGAGGAAACUGAAGCAAACAGUGUCAAGAGACUCGCUCGCUCAAGGUCACACAGCUGAUAAAGAAACUGAGGCAAAUAGGGUCAAGUGACUUGCCUGGAGCCACACAGCCAGUAAGUAUCUGAGGCCAGAUUUGAACUCACAAAGAUGAUCCUUCCUGCUUCCAUGCCACUUGACUCUUCCAUGCUCUGACUUGAAGCCAGAAGACCUAGGUCUUAUGCGCAGCUGAUGGGAGAUAUGAAGAUGAGGCUAAUUGUUGACUUGGAAAAAAUCCUGGAUUUGGGGUCAGAGGACCUGGAUAUAAAUCCCAGCUGUUACUUUGGCAAGUUCCUUUUACUUCUCUGCCUCUGUUUCCUCAUUUAUAAAAUCAGGGCUUGCACUCUACAGCCUCUUCCAGUUCCAAAUCCUCUGACCAUAUAAAACAAGACAGAGAGGGUCAGUUAGGUGGCUCAAUGGGUAAAGAGACAAGUCUAGAGACACGAGGUCUUGGGUUCAAAUCUGGAUUCAGUCAGUUCUCACAAGUGUUUGACCCCUGGCAAGUCACUUAACCCCAAUAGCCUAAUCCUUGCUGCUCUUCUACCUUGGAACCAAUACUUAGUACUGAUUCUAAGACAAAGAUAAAGCUUAAAAAAACAAAACAAAAACCCGACAGAGUCCUUGCUUUCAAUGUGGCAUGCAAACUUGGCCUAAACAUUGAUGAGGACCUCACUUGUUUCCACCCAGACUGGCCUUGCUGUUCUUCACACAAGACAUGCCAUAUUCCAUGGACUUCCUUUCUAGAUCUUUGCACUGUGUACCCCAUCCCUUCCUCCUCAUAUCCACCUACUGACAGCCUUUCUUUCCCUUUAAACUCAGCCCAAGUACCAUUGUCUACAUGAAGCCUUCCCUAGUUCUCCACACCUCCCAAUGGCCUCAUCUUUAUUUUUGAUAGUUACAUUCAUCGGUCAGGGCUGAGGGUGACAAACACCCCUGGGCUCUCAGCUCAGGUGACAGACUUGUCCCAUCUUUGAAGGCUUUCUAGCUUGGGAUAACCUGCAAAAAUUUGUAUUCCGUGGCCCUAGCCCAGAAGGGUCAUUCUAGUCUUUUCCUCCCUCUGAUGAUGAGGCCCUGGAUGAGAUCAGAGGAUGAGAGGGUUGUGACCAGGGAAGACUGCCUGGAAGAGGGUGUCAGGCAAAGAAGACCACAUUUACCAAUUUGGACACUCUGAUGGAGUUGGGAUCUUAUUUUCAAGCUUUGAAUGUUCCUCCUGAGCCUAGGUUUAGACAUUUGAAUGUUGUUUGGAACUGAGGGGGAGCUGGGAGGGGUUGGGGGGGGAGAUAA